rnacentral:rRNA from 1 species
UAUGUGAUCGUCUCUCGCAUAUCAAUAAGCGGAGGAAAAGAAACUAACAAGGAUUCCCCUAGUAACGGCGAGUGAAGCGGGAAGAGCUCAAAUUUGAAAUCUUAAAGGGUUUCCCUUUACGAAUUGUAGUUUAAAGAAGUGUUUUCUGUUGAGGUUUUGGUAAAAGUUCUUUGGAAUAGGACAUCAUAGAGGGUGAGAAUCCCGUAUUUGACCUUUACUUUCAACUUUGUGAUACACUUUCAAAGAGUCGGAUUGUUUGGGAAUGCAGUCCUAAAAUGGGUGGUAAAUUUCAUCUAAAGCUAAAUAUUGGCGAGAGACCGAUAGCGAACAAGUACCGUGAGGGAAAGAUGAAAGGAACUUUGAAAAGAGAGUUAAACAGUACGUGAAAUUGUCAAAAGGGAAGCGUUUGACACCAGUGUUGUUUUUCUGAAAAUCAAUUGAAAGAACUGUUUAUGCUAAGCUGUUUAGACUUUAUCAGCUAUCUGUUUAGUUUUGAGCUUUUCUUUAAUGCACUUUUCAGUUAACAAGUCAACAUCAAUUUCUUUUGCUGUAAAAAAGCUUGAGGAAGGUGGCUUGAGAUUCGUCUUAAGUGUUUAUAGCCUCUUGCCUAUGCAGUCGGAGAGAUUGAGGUCUGCAGCGUAGAUCCUUCGGGGCUAAAUGCAUUUGUGCUAAGUUAUAGCAUUUUAUAGACAACUUGUUGACUAUGAUUUGUCUUGUAGCUUACUCGCUUAUGUUAUUUUACCUACGCUUAGGAUGUUGAUAUCGCGCUCUCACUG